GCUUCCUUAGCUCAGCCGGUUAGAGCAUCUGACUGUUAAUCAGAGGGUCCAAGGUUCAAGUCCUUGAGGGAGCGCCA
rnacentral:tRNA from 1 species